rnacentral:rRNA from 1 species
CCUCCUUUCUUCCUCCUUGCGGCAUCUUGGUCAAUGGGCGGAAGCCUGAACCAGCCAAGUAGCGUGCGGGAUGAAGGCCCUACGGGUCGUAAACCGCUCUUGCACGGGGAUAACACCCUCCACUUGUGGAGGUCUGCAGGUACCGUGCGAAUAAGGGCCGGCUAAUUCCGUGCCAGCAGCCGCGGUAAUACGGAAGGCCCGAGCGUUAUCCGGAUUCAUUGGGCUUAAAGGGAGCGUAGGCGGGCGUUCAAGUCAGCUGUAAAAUCGCGCGGCUCAACCGCGCCCCGCAGUUGAAACUGGACGCCUUGAGUUCACAACAGGCAGGCGGAAGUCGUGGUGUAGCGGGGAAAUGCAUAGAUAUGACGAGGAACCCCGAUUGCGAAGGCAGCCUGCCGGGGUGCGACUGACGCUGAGGCUCGAAGGUGCGGGUAUCAAACAGGAUUAGAUACCCCUGUAGUC